rnacentral:rRNA from 1 species
AGUGAACGCUGGCGGUAGGCCUAACACAUGCAAGUCGAACGGCAGCACAGUAAGAGCUUGCUCUUACGGGUGGCGAGUGGCGGACGGGUGAGGAAUACAUCGGAAUCUACUUUUUCGUGGGGGAUAACGUAGGGAAACUUACGCUAAUACCGCAUACGACCUACGGGUGAAAGCAGGGGAUCUUCGGACCUUGCGCGAUUGAAUGAGCCGAUGUCGGAUUAGCUAGUUGGCGGGGUAAAGGCCCACCAAGGCGACGAUCCGUAGCUGGUCUGAGAGGAUGAUCAGCCACACUGGAACUGAGACACGGCCCAGACUCCUACGGGAGGCAGCAGUGGGGAAUAUUGGACAAUGGGCGCAAGCCUGAUCCAGCUAUACCGCGUGGGUGAAGAAGGCCUUCGGGUUGUAAAGCCCUUUUGUUGGGAAAGAAAAGCAGCAGGUUAAUACCCCGCUGUUCUGACGGUACCCAAAGAAUAAGCACCGGCUAACUUCGUG